GUACGUCUUGGUCAGUUACCUCAGAAAAUGCAGUCUUCGUCAACCUGCCGCCAUAGACGGCCGCCUGCUGCCUAGUUAUUCAAAUGAGGGGUAGAACCUUAGCAAAACUCUAUCAGUAUGACGCGUUAUUCCGGCGACUACCAUCCGGAAGCAACAUGGAAGCCCACUGUGGUGACAAGCGUGGUCUUGAGCAUUUAGACGAAUAUGAACCCAAACCAGCAAAACAUAUGCGUAGCCUGCACGAUCGCAUGGCGGAAAGGCGACUAGUAGUUAUUUUAGAGGGGGCAACGCUGGAAACAGUGAAGGUUGGCAAGACAUUUGAACUGCUGAACUGUGACCAACACAAGGGCAUGAUCAUCAAAAGUGGACGGGACCCUGGGAAGAUUCGACCUGACAUUACACAUCAGUGUUUGUUGAUGCUGAUGGACAGUCCAUUGAACAGGGCAGGUCUCCUGCAGGUUUACAUCCACACAGAGAGGAACGCCUUGAUUGAGAUCAACCCACAGACACGCAUCCCCCGAACAUUCAACCGCUUCUGUGGCCUCAUGGUCCAGCUCCUGCACAAGCUGAGUGUGAGGGCGGCUGACGGCCCCCAGCGCCUGCUGAAGCUCAUCAAGAACCCUGUAUCAGACCACCUGCCCCCUGGCUGCCCCCGUAUUUGUACCUCCUUCUCCUCUGGGGAGGCAGUGGGCGCCCGCACCGUGGUACCAGAGGAGGGGCCCGCCGCUGUGGUGGUCGGAGCGUUUGCACACGGAGCGGUGAAUGUGGACUACACAGAGAAGACUGUGUCCAUCAGUAACUACCCUCUCUCUGCUGCCCUCACAUGUGCCAAGAUGUGCUCUGCCUUUGAGGAGGUCUGGGGUGUGUUGUGAUGAAGUUGACAGCGCACUGCUGCUCCAGCUAAAACGGUUGUGAACGUGAACAUUGUCUUACAGGGACUAGAAAUGGAUCGGACAGUCACGUUCAGUCAAGGAACAUUGUACAGAAACGGUCCAUUUCACCAAUUACCUCCUGUGGAUUUGUACGAUACUAUGGGUGUAUGUAUUGUGUGUAAAAUAUGGUAUUUUACAUGUCUCAAUUAAGGCAGAGUUUCAAUAAGAAAUGAAUACUGUUUUGAAUACACCAUCUGUAAGGACUUGGCACCGAAUAUGGUCUUCCUACUUAAAAAAAAAAAUGUAUCCAGUGCAUCAUUGUUCUCAUGGCCAGUUUUAUUGCUUCUUUAAAUGAGAACAGUUUUCAGCUGUGCUAUUAUAAUUGCAAAAGGGUUUCUAAUGAUCAAUUAGCCUUUUAAAAUGAUAAACUUGGAUUAGCUAACACAACAUGCCAUUGGAACACAGGAGUGAUGAUUGAUGAUAAUGGGCCUCUGUACAUCUAUGUAGAUAUUCCAUAUAAAAAUCUGCCGUUUUCCAGCUACAAUAGUCAUUUACAACAUUAACAAUGUCUACACUGCAUUUCUGAUCAAUUUUAUGUUCUUUUAAUGGACAAAAUUGUUUUUUUUUUAAACAAGGACAUUUCUAUGUGACCCCAAACCUUUGAACGGUAGUGUACAUGUAAUUUGUGAGUAACAAUGUAAUAAAAACCAAUACAAUGUUA